rnacentral:rRNA from 1 species
UACGUAGGGUGCAAGCGUUAAUCGGAAUUACUGGGCGUAAAGCGUGCGCAGGCGGUGAUGUAAGACAGAUGUGAAAUCCCCGGGCUUAACCUGGGAACUGCAUUUGUGACUGCAUCGCUGGAGUGCGGCAGAGGGGAUGGAAUUCCGCGUGUAGCAGAUGAAUGCGUAGAUAUGCGGAGGAACACCGAUGGCGAAGGCAAUCCCCGUGGCCUGCACUGACGCUCAUGCACGAAAGCGUGGGGAGCAAACAGG